rnacentral:rRNA from 1 species
GACGAACGCUGGCGGCGUGCCUAAUACAUGCAAGUUGAGCGCUGAAGGUUGGUACUUGUACCAACUGGAUGAGCAGCGAACGGGUGAGUAACGCGUGGGGAAUCUGCCUUUGAGCGGGGGACAACAUUUGGAAACGAAUUCUAAUACCGCAUAAAAACUUUAAACACAAGUUUUAAGUUUGAAAGAUGCAAUUGCAUCACUCAAAGAUGAUCCCGCGUUGUAUUAGCUAGUUGGUGAGGUAAAGGCUCACCAAGGCGAUGAUACAUAGCCGACCUGAGAGGGUGAUCGGCCACAUUGGGACUGAGACACGGCCCAAACUCCUACGGGAGGCAGCAGUAGGGAAUCUUCGGCAAUGGACGAAAGUCUGACCGAGCAACGCCGCGUGAGUGAAGAAGGUUUUCGGAUCGUAAAACUCUGUUGGUAGAGAAGAACGUUGGUGAGAGUGGAAAGCUCAUCAAGUGACGGUAACUACCCAGAAAGGGACGGCUAACUACGUG